rnacentral:rRNA from 1 species
GAGUUUGAUCAUGGCUCAGAUUGAACGCUGGCGGCAGGCCUAACACAUGCAAGUCGAGCGGAUGAGUGGAGCUUGCUCCAUGAUUCAGCGGCGGACGGGUGAGUAAUGCCUAGGAAUCUGCCUGGUAGUGGGGGACAACGUUUCGAAAGGAACGCUAAUACCGCAUACGUCCUACGGGAGAAAGCAGGGGACCUUCGGGCCUUGCGCUAUCAGAUGAGCCUAGGUCGGAUUAGCUAGUUGGUGGGGUAAAGGCCUACCAAGGCGACGAUCCGUAACUGGUCUGAGAGGAUGAUCAGUCACACUGGAACUGAGACACGGUCCAGACUCCUACGGGAGGCAGCAGUGGGGAAUAUUGGACAAUGGGCGAAAGCCUGAUCCAGCCAUGCCGCGUGUGUGAAGAAGGUCUUCGGAUUGUAAAGCACUUUAAGUUGGGAGGAAGGGCAGUAAGUUAAUACCUUGCUGUUUUGACG